UACGGAGGGUGCAAGCGUUGUUCGGAAUUAUUGGGCGUAAAGGGCGCGUAGGCUGUUAUGUAAGUCAGAUGUGAAAUACUUCGGCUUAACCGAAGAACUGCAUUUGAUACUACAUAGCUAGAGUACAGAAGAGGGAAAUGGAAUUCCCGGUGUAGAGGUGAAAUUCGUAGAUAUCGGGAGGAACACCAGUGGCGAAGGCGAUUUCCUGGUCUGAUACUGACGCUGAGGCGCGAAAGCGUGGGGAGCAAACAGG
rnacentral:rRNA from 1 species